rnacentral:lncRNA from 1 species
AUUAUCAGGAAAGCCUCUGAUCAGAGUUAUCUUCUUUAUAUCUUAUGAGGAUUAUGGUUUUCCUUCUCAUUUCUUCAUCCUUAACUGCCAGAUAUGCUAUGAGAUUUCUGUUCCCAACCUUCUAAUAUGAAGCCUUUUGACCAGGACUUAAAAUUAUUAUCGACUUCAUGAUGGUGGGGGAAAGACUUGGAAAUCACAGUCAAGUGGUCCCAGGUACCAUAUACUGGGGAAGACAGGCUUUCCCACCAGUCCCAGAAGGAAGAUGGAAAAGAUAUGGACUAGAGCUGUCCCAGUAAAUGGGACCAAGCACCAUUCUAGAAGAGAACUUAGCCAACCUGGAGAUGAAAGAGUGUACCCAUUUGAGAUCCUAUAAGCUCAGAUAGGAUGAGUUAACCCUCUAAUUGUGUGGACUAUAA